rnacentral:rRNA from 1 species
UACAGAGGGGGCAAGCGUUGUUCGGAAUUACUGGGCGUACAGGGCGCGUAGGCGGCCUUCUAAGUCGCACGUGAAAUCCCCGGGCUCAACCCGGGAACUGCGUCCGAUACUGGAAGGCUUGAAUCCGGGAGAGGGAUGUGGAAUUCCAGGUGUAGCGGUGAAAUGCGUAGAUAUCUGGAGGAACACCGGUGGCGAAGGCGACAUCCUGGACCGGUAUUGACGCUGAGGCGCGAAAGCCAGGGGAGCAAACGGG